rnacentral:lncRNA from 1 species
GAUGGAUGAAAAUACAAAAUUACUACAAAUUCAAGUGGAUGUGGCCGGGUACUUGUAAAUUCCCAACAACAAAAACACACUAAGUACAGAUCUGAGAGCACUUGCAGUUACUAACAGCUAGUUCAAAGUCACUGACCAGUAAUAAAAAAAUCAUGCAUCUAAGACAUUGGAGUUAUAAAGAGGCACAUAUCCAUAUCCAUACCUUAAUCCAUAAUCUAUCAUAUU